UUGUGGAACUGUGGAUGAUUGGGC
rnacentral:piRNA from 1 species